CAGCAGCCGCGGUAAUACGAAGGGGGCUAGCGUUGUUCGGAUUUACUGGGCGUAAAGGGCGCGUAGGCGGGCGAUUAAGUCAGGGGUGAAAUCCCAAGGCUCAACCUUGGAACUGCCUUUGAUACUGAUUGUCUUGAGUCCGGGAGAGGUGAGUGGAACUGCGAGUGUAGAGGUGAAAUUCGUAGAUAUUCGCAAGAACACCAGUGGCGAAGGCGGCUCACUGGCCCGGAACUGACGCUGAGGCGCGAAAGCGUGGGGAGCAAACAGGAUUAGAUACCCCAGUAGUCCCUGUCUCUUAUAA
rnacentral:rRNA from 1 species